AUUGAACGCUGGCGGCAGGCCUAACACAUGCAAGUCGAGCGGAUGAAGGGAGCUUGCUCCUGGAUUCAGCGGCGGACGGGUGAGUAAUGCCUAGGAAUCUGCCUGGUAGUGGGGGAUAACGUCCGGAAACGGGCGCUAAUACCGCAUACGUCCUGAGGGAGAAAGUGGGGGAUCUUCGGACCUCACGCUAUCAGAUGAGCCUAGGUCGGAUUAGCUAGUUGGUGGGGUAAAGGCCUACCAAGGCGACGAUCCGUAACUGGUCUGAGAGGAUGAUCAGUCACACUGGAACUGAGACACGGUCCAGACUCCUACGGGAGACAGCAGUGGGGAAUAUUGGACAAUGGGCGAAAGCCUGAUCCAGCCAUGCCGCGUGUGUGAAGAAGGUCUUCGGAUUGUAAAGCACUUUAAGUUGGGAGGAAGGGCGGUAAGUUAAUACCUUGCUGUUUUGACGUUACCAACAGAAUAAGCACCGGCUAACUUCGUG
rnacentral:rRNA from 1 species